CCUACGGGUGGCAGCAGUGGGGAAUAUUUGGCAAUGGAGGCAACUCUGACCCAGCAAUGCCGCGUGAGUGAUGAAGGUAAUUUUAUUGUAAAGCUCUUUUCUUUGGGACGAAUAUAUGACGGUACCAAAGGCAUAAGCCCCGGAUAACUACGUGCCAGCGGCCGCGGUAAUCCGUAGGGGGCAAGCGUUGUUCGGAAUGACUGGGCGGAAAGGGUGUGUAGGUGGGUUGGUAAGUUAGAUGUUGAAUACCUCGGGCUUAACUCGGGUGCUGCAUCUAAUACUGUUAGACUUGAGUACUGGAGAGGAUAGUGGAAUUCCUAGUGUAGCAGUGGAAUGCGUAGAUAUCAGGAGGAACAUCAGUGGCGAAGGCGACUAUCUGGACAGCAACUGACACUGAGGCACGAAAGCGUGGGGAGCAAACAGGAUUAGAUACCCGUGUAGUC
rnacentral:rRNA from 1 species